UUUAAAUUGAGAGUUUGAUCCUGGCUCAGGAUGAACGCUGGCGGCGUGCCUAAUACAUGCAAGUCGAACGAAACUUC
rnacentral:rRNA from 1 species